UUCUUUGGGACUUGGUACUGAAAGAUCCCCGAAGGGAGACCCUUACUCAAGUCUCGGGAAGUCACGGACCCCAGACACACGAGAGACC
rnacentral:pre_miRNA from 14 species